rnacentral:tRNA from 1 species
CUGCGGUAGCUCAGUGGUAGAGCACUCCCUUGGUAAGGGAGAGGUCGAGAGUUCAAUCCUCUCUCGCAGCACCAU